GACAGAGGGGGCAAGCGUUGCUCGGAAUCACUGGGCGUAAAGGGCGCGUAGGCGGGAUGGCAAGUCGGUCGUGAAAUCCUUCGGUUCAACCGAAGAACGUCGGCCGAUACUGCCGUUCUUGAGGGAUGCAGAGGAGAUUGGAAUUCCCGGUGUAGCGGUGAAAUGUGUAGAGAUCGGGAGGAACACCAGUGGCGAAGGCGGCUCACUGGCCCGAUACUGACGCUGAGGUGCGAAAGCGUGGGGAGCAAACAGG
rnacentral:rRNA from 1 species